rnacentral:rRNA from 1 species
GGGAAUAUUGCACAAUGGGGGAAACCCUGAUGCAUCGAUGCCGCGUGGAGGAAGAAGGUUUUCGGAUUGUAAACUCCUUUUAUCAGGGACGAUAAUGACGGUACCUGAAGAAAAAGCUCCGGCUAACUACGUGCCAGCAGCCGCGGUAAUACGAAGGGAGCGAGCGUUGUCCGGAAUUACUGGGUGUAAAGGGAGCGUAGGCGGGACGGCAAGUCAGAUGUGAAAACUGAGGGCUCAACCUUCAGACUGCAUUUGAAACUGCUGUUCUUGAGUGAAGUAGAGGUAAGCGGAAUUCCUAGUGUAGCGGUGAAAUGCGUAGAUAUUAGGAGGAACAUCGGUGGCGAAGGCGGCUUACUGGGCUUUUACUGACGCUGAGGCUCGAAAGCGUGGGGAGCAAACAGG